CUCUUCGAAAGUCUUCCAUUCUUCAAACUAGAUUAUUUAAAAAUGAAAAAGGAAGAAAGGAAAGCGAGGUCAUCUCAUUGCUCUAUCCGCCAAUCAGGAGGCUGAAUGUCAGUUUUGAACUAAAAGCCGCUCCGCUCCUCUUCUAGAUUUGGAAAACAAGCGAAAUUAAACUAAACCGCUGCACGCCUCUGACGCGACAUCUGGACACGGCGCGGCGCUGGCGCUGCCGGAGCUGUCGGCCCGGCCUGGCGCCGGACUAGUGUCCCUUUUGAUGAGAAGAAUAAGCCUCAUUGUGAUUCAACAGCAGAGAUCAAAGAAAAGACUUCUGUUUUCUGGCCACCAGAUAUAUGUUAUCUGUGCUUAAAGAAUUGAAAAACACACAUCAAAGGAGAAUUCUCUUGGAAAGAGAGGGUUCAAGCAUCACUGUUAGGUGUGCUGGAAUCCUUUCCCGAGUCAGUACUGCUUUCUAGAAGAAAACCGGGGAGAUCUAUUUGGAAUGUAUCUAACUCCAAAGGAACCAUCAGAGGUAACAGAUUGGCUUCUCUCACAUGGCAAGAAACAUUGCUGCUAGCACUUCCCGAGUUCUAUGUUCUACAACAUCCACCACUGCUAUGUGUCUCACAGUCCAGACUUGGAGUACAAGUAAUAAGAAGAAUAAAACUUAAUCCCUCAAGUAGAUUCACCAUAAGUUAGCUCAGAGCAAUUCCAGUGCAAGUAUGGUCUGUGAUCCAAUAGUAUCUUACAGACAGCAAGUUGAACAUUGUGGGAUGCAUAAGCUAUUGAGGCCUUUGCAGCUUUCUGCUACAUGGAGGCUACGGCCAGAGUCAACAUUUAUGCUUUGCAGCACACUGGUCAGCUGUUUUUGCAAAUCAGAUUAAAUAAUUUUUAAAUGAGGCUGAGAGCAUGGGAGAUACUAAUGUGUGUUUCCUUGUGAGCUACUGCAUAAGUUAGGAAAUUGAAAUACAGAAAGAUGAAAAGUGAUUUGCCCAAGUAUAUAGAUCAAAACUGUGGCAGA
rnacentral:antisense_RNA from 1 species